rnacentral:rRNA from 1 species
AAUUUAUUUAAUUAAUAUUUUUAUUAUAUUAAAAUAUUUUUAUAAAAAUAAUUUAAAUUUAAUUUGUUUUAGUAUUAAUUAAAAAAUAAUUUUUAAAUUUAUAGUUUAUUAGUAUUGUAAAAGAAAUUAUUUUAAAUAUUUUAAAGAAUUAUUUUUAGUACCUUUUGUAUCAGGGUUAAUUAAAAUUUUUAAUAUAUUUUUUAAUUUCUCAAAAUUUAUAGAGUUAAUUUUAUUAUUAAUUUAUUGUUUUAAAAAUAUUUAUAAAAUAAUAUUAGUUUAGAAAUUUAAUUCGUUAUAUUAUAUUUAGUUAUUUAAGAUUUAAAUUUAAUUUAAAAUUUUAAAAGUUAUAUUAAUUUUAAUUAAUUAUAUUUUAAAUUUAAAUUAUUUUAGGGAUAAGCUUAAAAUUUUAAUAAAAUAAAUUUAUUUAAUAAAUAAAUUUUAAGAUUAGAAAUUUUUAUUUUAAGUUUGUAAAAAUUUAUUAUUUUUUUAUGUUUUAAUUUAUUAUAAUUUUAUUUAUUUUUUAUAUUAAAUUUUAUAAAAUAAUUAUAUAUUUAUAGUAAUAAUGAUUAAAUUAGUAUAAUUUAAAUUUAUAAUUUAUGAAUUCGGCAAAAAUUAUUUUCAUCUGUUUAACAAAAACAUUGUAUUAAGUUUAAUUUAAUAUAGGAUCUGCUCAAUGAUUAAAUUAAAUAGCUGCAGUAUAUUGACUGUGCAAAGGUAGCAUAAUAAUUAGUCUUUUAAUUGAGGACUAGAAUGAAAGAUUUGAUGAGAAAUAAACUUUAUUAUUUAUAUAAUUAAAAUUUUAUUUUUAAGUAAAAAAGCUUAAAUUAUUUUAAGGGACGAUAAGACCCUAUAAAACUUUAUAAAUUUAUAGUUUUAAAUUAUUGGUUAAUAUAAUUAUUUAAAUUAAAAAAUUUAUUUUAUUGGGGUGAUAAAAAAAAAUAAUAAACUUUUUUUAAAAAUUAACAUUAUUUAAUGAGUUAUUGAAUUAAAAUUUUUAAUUAUAGGAUAAAGUUACUUUAGGGAUAACAGCGUAAUUAAUUUUUUAAGUUCAAAUUUAAAAAUUAGAUUGCGACCUCGAUGUUGAAUUAAGAUAAUUCUUAGGUGCAAAAUUUUAAGUUUUAGGUCUGUUCGACCUUUAAAUUCUUACAUGAUUUGAGUUCAAACCGGUGUAAGCCAGGUUGGUUUCUAUCUUUAAAAUUUUAUUUUAUUUUAGUACGAAAGGAUUAAAUAAAAAAAUUUAAUUUUUUUUAAAAAAUAUUAUUAUUUA